rnacentral:lncRNA from 1 species
GUUCAUUCACACAGAAUCCGGGGCAUGAAUGUUCUUAGCAGCUCUGUUCCACACAGCCCCACACUGGAAACCACACAGACGUCCUGCGAGUCCCAUCCCUUGCUCAUGUCGCCGGGGCUCCGGAGGAGGGCCACUCUGUAAAAGCGGCCGCCAGAUGGCGCCCAACGACCGGCGCGGAGGGGUCAGCGGGAGGGAACCGGGUCACCAGCCAGCGAGAGUGCACAGCCUGAGCCCACCGCCGGCGGUGCACGUAUUUCCCUUCCAAAAAAGAAGAACGGGAAAGGAGAUGUUAAAGGCAAGCAGAGAGAGGAAAACUGUUGCAAAACAAAAGCUGAGCUCCCGUCCGAGGGAGGCCUCCUCCAUUGGAGGCCUAGGAAAUCAUUCUGACAAAAUGGAGGAUCUCUGUCUUUGGUGUCGAUUCCCUCAGAGGUCAAGAGAAACCUUUUCCAAUGUCUUUAUCAGGAGGAGACUAGAAGUUAGAGAAAAGUAUCCUUUCGGGAGUGAGAAAAACAAAUUCUGAUUUUGCAUCAGCUUCCCUCCGAUCUUGAAACUCAUUGACUUGAUUCCAUUCUGUCGACGGAAAUAAUCCGGAACCAAUCUAUCCGUGAAAAUCGGGGUGCGUUUAUUCUGAGCUAAAAUGUGAGGACUGUGGCCCGGGGCCUUUCUUCCCGAAGGAAGAGAGGGUGCCCGGGAAGUGGGGUGUACAGAGUGCUUCUAGACCCCCAGAGAGGACGUUUCACAUAGGAUCGAAAGGUCCCUUGGAUGAUAGUCGCGAGACUGCUCUGUCGGCACAGCGAUCGACAGACACUGCUGGGUGGCAGGUCUGUUGUCUGGGCCUGGGUGGUCACAGGUGAGCGCAACCAUCCGUUCCUAGCCUAAGGAAAGAUGCCUCUCCUUAAGGAAAGGCCCGAGCACGGGGAAGCUGCUCCUUUCCCUUAAGGGCAUUGGUUCUUGCCAUAGGAAAUGUUUAAAGCAGAUCUACGAUGCGAUGCGUGCUCGACGGCCACGUCAGGCCCUUUUCGAAAAACACUGUCAGGCCGAAUUAGGCCGACACCCAAUGGCUUCCUCAUAGACUCCCAUAGAUCCUAUCGCUCGCCAUUUCUAUCUGUCCACUCGUUCCAAUUUUAGGCCACUUGACCACGAACAGGCCUUUUUCUCAGAUUAUUUUCCCCGUGAAACUUUGAUCACCUUUUCACAGACAAAACGAUCUUUACUUUUUAGGCCCUCUUGCCUGAAGGCAGCCAUCUCACUUUCCUUGAACACAAAGAUGUUUCCCAUAUUCACUUUUAGUGGCUUUUUGUUUUGUUUUGUUUUGUUUUGAGGACGAUGAGCCCUGAGCUAACUGCUGCCAAUCCUCCUCUUUUUGCCGAGGAAGGCUGGCCCUGAGCUAACCUCCGUGCCCAUCUUCCUCUAUUUCAUAUGUGGGACGCCUACCACCACGUGGCUCGCCCAGCGGUGCCACGUCCACCCCCGGGAUCCGAACCAGCGAACCCCGGGCCGGCAAAGCGGAACAGGCACACUUAACCAGCGCGCCACCAGGCCGGCCUAGUGGCUUUCAUCGCAUUUGUUAAGUAGAUUUUUUAACCCUCAUGAACCUUAAUUUUGGUGAAAACUAAGAAGUCAGCAAUUAGGAACUGUCCUUCCCAUGAGCAUUCUGUCGCUUGGCCAAUUUCUAAACACUUGGCCACUUUUAGAAACAUGGGAUUUCAUAGGUUUAUCUUUUCUUUCGCUUUAUUUGAUUUCAUCUCACUUUAGUUUUUGGGUGAGGAAGAUCGGCCCUCACAGAGCUAACGCCUGUUGCCAAUCUUCCUCUUCUUUCUGCUUGAGGGAGAGCGGGCCCGAGGUAACACCUGUGCCCCACUUCCUCGAUCUUGUGGACGGGAUGCCACCACAGCCCGGUGUGAGGAGCGGUGGAGGUCCACGCCCGGGAUCUGAACCCGAGGACCCCGGGCUGCCGAAGCUGAGUGCAGGAGCUUAACCACUAUGCCGCCGGGCCGCCGUCCCCUGUCAAAGCUUUUAAUAAAGCACGAGACGUGUUCCUCGAUAGACCCAAAC